rnacentral:rRNA from 1 species
UACGAAGGGUGCAAGCGUUACUCGGAAUUACUGGGCGUAAAGCGUGCGUAGGUGGUCUGUUAAGUCUGAUGUGAAAGCCCUGGGCUCAACCUGGGGAAUGGCAUUGGAUACUGGCAGGCUAGAGUGCGGUAGAGGAUGGCGGAAUUCCCGGUGUAGCAGUGAAAUGCGUAGAGAUCGGGAGGAACAUCUGUGGCGAAGGCGGCCAUCUGGACCAGCACUGACACUGAGGCACGAAAGCGUGGGGAGCAAACAGG